rnacentral:rRNA from 1 species
UACGAAGGGGGCUAGCGUUGCUCGGAAUCACUGGGCGUAAAGCGCACGUAGGCGGCUUUUUAAGUCAGAGGUGAAAUCCUGGAGCUCAACUCCAGAACUGCCUUUGAUACUGGAGAGCUUGAGUCCGGGAGAGGUGAGUGGAACUGCGAGUGUAGAGGUGAAAUUCGUAGAUAUUCGGAAGAACACCAGUGGCGAAGGCGGCCCGCUGGACAUGUAUUGACGCUGAGGUGCGAAAGCGUGGGGAGCAAACAGG